rnacentral:lncRNA from 1 species
AUGCUGUCACAUGAUGCAGAGCAAGUUCUGUGGUACCUGUUCGAGGUGGAGGAGCUUGUUGAGGAGGUGCUGGUGGACAAACAGCAGAUUGUGGAUGUGGACACCGAAAGGAAUAAAAACCCAGAGGGCCUGAGAGCCCUGCAGAAUGGUCUCAGCCUCUCUGAAGAUGUGGUUUGCCUCAGGAACAUGUUUGUCAAGAUGCCUCACCCUCAGGUGAAGGAAAUGAUUAAGAAAAAUCAGGAUCAUCUGGAUAAAUAGAAAUAAUCCAAAAACAAUGGGCCCAAGGCAAACCAGAGCCAAAGAGUUUUAACUUGAACCCCUUCAGUCAGGAUGAACAUAAAGCUCUCAAGUUCUUGAAAGGA